rnacentral:rRNA from 1 species
CCUAUAACGAGCGAACCCUCGUCUUGUGUUGCUGAGACAUGCGCUAACGGAUCAAUUUCAUCGCCAGUCAGGGUGGGGCAAGUGCCUCUUUUUGAGUGAUGACACUCCUAUGAAGGCAGGUGCGUGCUGCACUCACAAGAGACUGCCAGUGAUAUACUGGAGGAAGGUGGA